rnacentral:rRNA from 1 species
AAGUCGAGCGAACGGACGAGAAGCUUGCUUCUCUGAUGUUAGCGGCGGACGGGUGAGUAACACGUGGAUAACCUACCUAUAAGACUGGGAUAACUUCGGGAAACCGGAGCUAAUACCGGAUAAUAUUUUGAACCGCAUGGUUCAAAAGUGAAAGACGGUCUUGCUGUCACUUAUAGAUGGAUCCGCGCUGCAUUAGCUAGUUGGUAAGGUAACGGCUUACCAAGGCAACGAUGCAUAGCCGACCUGAGAGGGUGAUCGGCCACACUGGACCUGAGACACGGUCCAGACUCCUACGGGAGGCAGCAGUAGGGAAUCUUCCGCAAUGGGCGAAAGCCUGACGGAGCAACGCCGCGUGAGUGACGAAGGUCUUCGGAUCGUAAAACUCUGUUAUUAGGGAAGAACAUAUGUGUAAGUAACUGUGCACAUCUUGACGGUACCUAAUCAGAAAGCCACGGCUAACUACGUGCCAGCAGCCGCGGUAAUACGUAGGUGGCAAGCGUUAUCCGGAAUUAUUGGGCGUAAAGCGCGCGUAGGCGGUUUUUUAAGUCUGAUGUGAAAGCCCACGGCUCAACCGUGGAGGGUCAUUGGAAACUGGAAAACUUGAGUGCAGAAGAGGAAAGUGGAAUUCCAUGUGUAGCGGUGAAAUGCGCAGAGAUAUGGAGGAACACCAGUGGCGAAGGCGACUUUCUGGUCUGUAACUGACGCUGAUGUGCGAAAGCGUGGGGAUCAAACAGGAUUAG